rnacentral:rRNA from 1 species
UAAAGUUGUUGCAGUUAAAAAGAUCGUAGUUGAAUUUCGGGAUCAGCAUGUCGGUCGUGCCUCUGGUACGUACUGGUAUCGUUGAUUUCUACCUUCUGACGAACUAUGAUGUCAUUAAUUUGGUGUCAUGGGGAAUCAGGACUGUUACUUUGAAAAAAUUAGAGUGUUUAAAGCAGGCACACGCUUGAAUACAUUAGCAUGGAAUAAUGAAAUAGGACGUUUGACCCUAUUUUGUUGGUUUCUAGGAUCGACGUAAUGAUUAAUAGGG